rnacentral:rRNA from 1 species
AUUGAACGCUGGCGGCAGGCCUAACACAUGCAAGUCGAGCGGAAGAAGGGAGCUUGCUCCUGGAUUCAGCGGCGGACGGGUGAGUAAUGCCUAGGAAUCUGCCUGGUAGUGGGGGAUAACGUCCGGAAACGGGCGCUAAUACCGCAUACGUCCUGAGGGAGAAAGUGGGGGAUCUUCGGACCUCACGCUAUCAGAUGAGCCUAGGUCGGAUUAGCUAGUUGGUGGGGUAAAGGCCUACCAAGGCGACGAUCCGUAACUGGUCUGAGAGGAUGAUCAGUCACACUGGAUCUGAGACACGGUCCAGACUCCUACGGGAGGCAGCAGUGGGGAAUAUUGGACAAUGGGCGAAAGCCUGAUCCAGCCAUGCCGCGUGUGAAGAAGGUCUUCGGAUUGUAAAGCACUUUAAGUUGGGAGGAAGGGCAGUAAGUUAAUACCUUGCUGUUUUGACGUUACCAACAGAAUAAGCACCGGCUAACUUCGUG